rnacentral:rRNA from 1 species
ACAGAUGGGAGCUUGCUCCCUGAUGUUAGCGGCGGACGGGUGAGUAACACGUGGGUAACCUGCCUGUAAGACUGGGAUAACUCCGGGAAACCGGGGCUAAUACCGGAUGGUUGUUUGAACCGCAUGGUUCAAACAUAAAAGGUGGCUUCGGCUACCACUUACAGAUGGACCCGCGGCGCAUUAGCUAGUUGGUGAGGUAACGGCUCACCAAGGCAACGAUGCGUAGCCGACCUGAGAGGGUGAUCGGCCACACUGGGACUGAGACACGGCCCAGACUCCUACGGGAGGCAGCAGUAGGGAAUCUUCCGCAAUGGACGAAAGUCUGACGGAGCAACGCCGCGUGAGUGAUGAAGGUUUUCGGAUCGUAAAGCUCUGUUGUUAGGGAAGAACAAGUACCGUUCGAAUAGGGCGGUACCUUGACGGUACCUAACCAGAAAGCCACGGCUAACUACGUGCCAGCAGCCGCGGUAAUACGUAGGUGGCAAGCGUUGUCCGGAAUUAUUGGGCGUAAAGGGCUCGCAGGCGGUUUCUUAAGUCUGAUGUGAAAGCCCCCGGCUCAACCGGGGAGGGU